CUUUAUAGGUAUACCAGCUCAAAAGUGCCUGAUCUUGUCUGAUUUCAGACGCUAAACAGGGUCUGGCCUCAUUAUUACUUAGAUAGGAGACAGCUCCUGCAGUCA
rnacentral:rRNA from 1 species